rnacentral:rRNA from 1 species
AUUGAACGCUGGCGGCAGGCCUAACACAUGCAAGUCGAGCGGUAGCACAGAGAGCUUGCUCUCGGGUGACGAGCGGCGGACGGGUGAGUAAUGUCUGGGAAACUGCCUGAUGGAGGGGGAUAACUACUGGAAACGGUAGCUAAUACCGCAUAACGUCGCAAGACCAAAGUGGGGGACCUUCGGGCCUCAUGCCAUCAGAUGUGCCCAGAUGGGAUUAGCUAGUAGGUGGGGUAACGGCUCACCUAGGCGACGAUCCCUAGCUGGUCUGAGAGGAUGACCAGCCACACUGGAACUGAGACACGGUCCAGACUCCUACGGGAGGCAGCAGUGGGGAAUAUUGCACAAUGGGCGCAAGCCUGAUGCAGCCAUGCCGCGUGUGUGAAGAAGGCCUUCGGGUUGUAAAGCACUUUCAGCGGGGAGGAAGGCGGUGAGGUUAAUAACCUCAUCGAUUGACGUUACCCGCAGAAGAAGCACCGGCUAACUCCGUGCCAGCAGCCGCGGUAAUACAGAGGGUGCAAGCGUUAAUCGGAAUUACUGGGCGUAAAGCGCACGCAGGCGGUCUGUCAAGUCGGAUGUGAAAUCCCCGGGCUCAACCUGGGAACUGCAUUCGAAACUGGCAGGCUAGAGUCUUGUAGAGGGGGGUAGAAUUCCAGGUGUAGCGGUGAAAUGCGUAGAGAUCUGGAGGAAUACCGGUGGCGAAGGCGGCCCCCUGGACAAAGACUGACGCUCAGGUGCGAAAGCGUGGGGAGCAAACAGGAUUAGAUACCCUGGUAGUCCACGCCGUAAACGAUGUCGAUUUGGAGGUUGUGCCCUUGAGGCGUGGCUUCCGGAGCUAACGCGUUAAAUCGACCGCCUGGGGAGUACGGCCGCAAGGUUAAAACUCAAAUGAAUUGACGGGGGCCCGCACAAGCGGUGGAGCAUGUGGUUUAAUUCGAUGCAACGCGAAGAACCUUACCUGGUCUUGACAUCCACAGAACUUUCCAGAGAUGGAUUGGUGCCUUCGGGAACUGUGAGACAGGUGCUGCAUGGCUGUCGUCAGCUCGUGUUGUGAAAUGUUGGGUUAAGUCCCGCAACGAGCGCAACCCUUAUCCUUUGUUGCCAGCGGUCCGGCCGGGAACUCAAAGGAGACUGCCAGUGAUAAACUGGAGGAAGGUGGGGAUGACGUCAAGUCAUCAUGGCCCUUACGACCAGGGCUACACACGUGCUACAAUGGCAUAUACAAAGAGAAGCGACCUCGCGAGAGCAAGCGGACCUCAUAAAGUAUGUCGUAGUCCGGAUUGGAGUCUGCAACUCGACUCCAUGAAGUCGGAAUCGCUAGUAAUCGUAGAUCAGAAUGCUACGGUGAAUACGUUCCCGGGCCUUGUACACACCGCCCGUCACACCAUGGGAGUGGGUUGCAAAAGAAGUAGGUAGCUUAACCUUCGGGAGGGCGCUUACCACUUUGUGAUUCAUGACUGGGGUGA